ensembl:lncRNA
CUCCACAUGAUGUUCAUUUACAGAAAUGUUUCACAGGAACUGAUUUCUCCCAAAGGGUGAACUAGUGUGUUUCCAUAGAUUACCUCUGUAUGAAUGUACUUCUUAAAUGAAGGCAAGUGUUUGUCCUUUUUUGUUCCUCAGGUACAGUACGUGAUAUCAAGGGCAGGCGGUCAUCACUGGGGGUAGACAAGAAGCAGACGUACUUCCAAGAGGGAGCUGCAGUGAGGACACAGCCAGGUCACUGAGGAGGCGCUGGAAGGUUUCCCUAAUAGUUCCUGGUGAAUCAAAGCAGAACCAUAAAGGUUGCUGGAUUGCAUGAUGGCCUUACCCCUGAGCAGUCAUCCUGUUAAAGGAGGAACCAGUUAGAAGCUGUUUUCAAAGUAGCUGAGCAGAUUUCAUCUCAAACAAAGCCGAUGGCAGAAGAUGUCAGAGAAGAACUUCAGGCCGUGUACUGAAAAGUAGAUCAAAGCAGCUCGUGCUCCUUCUGCUUCCAAUUUAGAAGAAGAAGAAGAAGGCGAAGGCUUCAGCAAAGUGGCGUUCAUGGUCUCAGUGAACAGUCACGGUCACACACUGCAUGUGGUUUUAAAAGCAACAUGUCUGUUCACCACAACAAUGGAGAUGUGUAAUAUUAGUGCAGCUACGGUUUGUUCUUGAACAUCAGUUCUGUUUUCUACUUUGAUCACUUAGACCAAAAAAGUGUUGUUUUCAGAUUCUUUCUUUUAAAUCUAUAAAGCACCUGCUCAUUUUUUUAUUACAAUUAGUUUCACAUAAAUGUUAGUUUUUCCUUUAUGAUCUUUUAAUGCUUACACUACACUGUACACAUUAGAGACAUUUCUGUUACCUGUUUCUGUUGACUCAGAGUUGUGAAAUGUUCUUUUAUUUAAUGCACAAUAUGAAGUUCAUAAUUUUCUUACAAAUAAAACUCUAAUGACAAA